AAAACGACUCUCAACAACGGAUAUCUCGGCUCUCGCAUCGAUGAAGAACGUAGUAAAAUGCGAUACUUGGUGUGAAUUGCAGAAUCCCGUGAACCAUCGAGUCUUUGAACACAAGUUACGCCCGAGGCCAUUAGGUCGAGGGCAUGUCUGCCUGGGUGUCACAC
rnacentral:rRNA from 1 species